rnacentral:lncRNA from 1 species
ACUUAUGGGGCAGCCCCCCAUUAUGGGUCCCACCCCGCACUUAUGGCUCCCAGCCCCCACUUAUGGGUCCCAGCCCAAAUCUAUGGGUCCCAGCCCCCCAUUAUGAGUCCCGUCCCCCACUUAUGGGUCCCAACCCCCACUUAUGGGUCCCACCCCAAACCUAUGGGUCCCACCCCAAACCUAUGGCUCCCAGCCCCCACUUACGGGUCCCACCCCACACUUAUGGGGCAGCCCUAAUCUAUGGGUCCCGCCCCCCACUUAUGGGUCCCACCCCCACUUAUGGGGCAGCCCAACUCUUAUGG